UUAAAUAUAUAAACCACGUGGCAAACAGGUGCACUUGCCUAACUGGUUUACACCACAAGGUGGCCCUAAAUUGCCACAGUAGAGUAAGUCCCACCACCAGAACUCUAGGAAGGCUGACAAGAGCAAUGUGUUGAUGAUAAUCCUAGUGCCACAUUUAGAAUAGUGCAUGGCAUCUGUGAGGGGCAUGAAGCAAUGGAGGAAAGCAGGACAGGAAAAACCUCUCAAAUUACACUAGUCAAGGAGGACACAAACCACAAAAGAAGCAACUCAAACAAGGUUUUGUGUUUAUCGUACUCUUCUGGCAAAUGUUAUGGAGAAAGCAUGGAAAAACUUGUGUGAAUCAGCUGUUUGGUGAUGGAUGAAUGGACCAGCCUUUUGGCCUUAUAGGCAAAGCACCAGUUCAAGAAGAUAAAGAAUGAAGGAAGUUCUGUGCUGACAAUGUGGAAAAAGCUGUAGUAAGAGCCAGAAUGCCGGAGAAGGGAGAUUGAUAACCAGAGGAAGUAAUAAUAGUGUGUGUGUCCUGACUGAUAGGGUACUGGACCCUCUUGUGCAAGUCUGCUAUAAUGAGCCAUUUCCACUGUCCUCUUCUUCCACAUUGCUUUGAGUCAGCUGACAUUCCAUGACACCUCGUUUGUCAAUUUUUGCAGAGUUUCAGCAGUGACACCUUUAAAGUCUUAUGACAACAUCAUUGCCUGCCCUGAGGAGUUUUUCCUCUCUGAAGUAUUUUUGACCCAAGAAUGCUUUGUUUUUCAUUCUGAACCUCUUGUUAAGCAAACAUUCUUAUCUUAGAUCUUGAUAUGAAAGCAAGACCGCCACUAACUUCCCUCUUCUGACAUCACUGUGCUGCC